CAGUAGCCGCGGUAAUACGUAGGUCCCGAGCGUUGUCCGGAUUUAUUGGGCGUAAAGGGAGCGCAGGCGGUUUAGUAAGUCUGAAGUUAAAGGCAUUGGCUCAACCAAUGUAUGCUUUGGAAACUGUUAGACUUGAGUGCAGAAGGGGAGAGUGGAAUUCCAUGUGUAGCGGUGAAAUGCGUAGAUAUAUGGAGGAACACCGGUGGCGAAAGCGGCUCUCUGGUCUGUCACUGACGCUGAGGCUCGAAAGCGUGGGUAGCGAACAGGAUUAGAGACCCGAGUAGUCCCUGUCUCUUAUACA
rnacentral:rRNA from 1 species